AAAGAAAUCGUUAAGGGCGUAUGGCGGAUGCCUAGGCUUUCAGAGGCGACGAAGGACGUGGUAAGCUGCGAAAAGCUGCGGGGAUUGGCACACACGAAUUGAUCCGCAGAUGUCCGAAUGGGGCAACCCAAUACAUUGAAGAUGUAUUACCUCGUAAGAGGAGCAAACCCGGAGAACUGAAACAUCUAAGUACCCGGAGGAAAAGAAAUCGAAGAGAUUCCGUAAGUAGUGGCGAGCGAAAGCGGAUUAGCCCAAAAGUCUUUAUAUAUUUAGAAGAACGUACUGGAAAGUGCGGCCAUAGACGGUGAUAGCCCGGUAUUCGAAAGGUAUAUAUAGAUGAUAAAUGAGUAGGGCGGGACACGUGAAAUCCUGUCUGAAUAUGGGGGGACCAUCCUCCAAGGCUAAAUACUCCUGAAAGACCGAUAGUGAACAAGUACUGUGAAGGAAAGGUGAAAAGCACUUCGAAUAGAAGGGUGAAAUAGAACCUGAAACC
rnacentral:rRNA from 1 species